ACCUUUUCUCCCUAUAAGAAGAACAGAUCGCAGAGAAGAAAAAAAAAUCAGAGCUUCGAAACAUAAUUUAGAUAGAGAAAAAUAUUAUCAAGUCCUAUUAUUCUGAUCAAUCUUUUUAGUUCAACUAUCAUGGCAUCCAAUGACACUCUGUUAAACAAGGAAACUGAACAGGUGACGGUGGAUACAGUAGAUCAUAGAACAUACUCAGCAGGAGAACAUGGAGAAGAAAAGACUACAACUGAAAACAUCCAAGUCGUUCAUGAACAAGUAGUACCUCCUCCUCAACACGAUGAACACAGCAAGGUGGAUAGUGAUGCUGCCGCCCCUGCCCAUGCUGCCACCCCAGGUAUCUUUGCUGGUGCUGCAGCCUCAAUAGCAAGUACUUAUCAGUCUGCUAAAGACUUUGCUUUCUCAUCAACUACUAAUAAUACCCACAACACCGAUGAGGACACUUUACGUUAAUUCGUCUUUGUUUAACUUGGUUUGUGUGUGUUUGUAAUCUGCUUAGUAGUUCAUAGCCCACAAGAAUGAAAAAAAAAGGGGUUAUGGUUUCAAUUAAGCUUGCAAUUAAGUUAUCUGUUGGAUUUUAGUUAGUUUACCUGAUUUAUGAUGAUCUUGGUGGUUGUUACCUUCCUAAUUAAAAAAACAUUAUUAAGCCAAUGAAGUACUGUUGGUGAUAAAUUUGUUCAAAAUGUUGUUUAUUUAUUUUUCCUGUCGUUUUCGUUUUUUUAUGGAUAAGAAUGAACAGAAAUCACCGACCACAAAGAAGUCGCACCUAGAUGCCAAUUUUCUUUAUGAGUCAUGACCAUGACGAGGACCCAAAAAUGUAUCGAGUCUGAAAUAUCUUUACUCUAGUCAUUAGUGCUACUUAUCUUCCCUUAAUUCGUUCUUACUCCCUUAUCUAUAGUUCUAUACUUAUCUUUCUAUUGUUUUAAAGUUGCUACUUUAUUAUCAGUGGAUCGAAUGGCAAGUUGUAAUAUCUUAAUAAAGUAGCUUCUUUAUUAAGAUAUCAAAUAAUAAACAAGAUAUUAUCAUCAAUUUAAUCAUAUAAAUUUGAUGGAAUGGCAAAUAGUAACCACAUCCAAAUUCGUUUAUUCAUCAAAUGAAAUUACCCUUCGGGAGCGGGCUCAUGACAACCAUGUCCAACAACAUUCACGUGUCACCUCGACUCCUCGUAGGACUCGUGACCGACCGGAAGCCUAUCCAUCCAUCUAGUACUUGAGAAGUGGAGUGCUGCUGACUGUUUCCAAGGGUAAAGUAGACUAAAGCUCAAUCGAAGACAAAAUCACAAGAUAAUGAUGAAGAGUAACAAUCCUUAGGUGAUUCUGCUGUUACUAUGUACCUUUAUCACUUCAUCCGUAGUAGCAACAUCAGAUUCAUGCAAAGCUUACCCAUCAGAAUCAUGUAAAGCUUGGAACACUGUUGAUGAAGAAUUAGUUCCAGAGAGAAGGGAAGUACAUGGAGGAGGAAGAAUAUUUGAUAUUAGUCAUACUUAUAGAACCACUAUGCCUUCUUGGGGAUCUACAGAAGGAUUAGGUCAGUUUUUAUGGUUACCUGCUAGUAUCAAAAAUGGAUCUCUUGCUAAUAAUUCUGAGAUGAAGUUGCCUACUCAUACUGGUACUCAUGUUGAUGCACCUGGUCAUGUUUUUGAUCAUUAUUUUGAUGCUGGAUUUGAUGUUGAUACACUUGAUCUUGAGGUUCUCAAUGGUCCAGCUUUCUUAGUUGAUGUUCCAAGGAACAGUAAUAUAACUGCUGAAGUUAUGAAAUCCUUACAUAUUCCCAAAGGAGUUAAGCGCGUGCUUUUCAGAACAUUAAACACCGACAGGAAGCUCAUGUGGAAAACAGAGUUUGACACGAGCUAUGUUGGAUUUAUGAAGGAUGGCGCAAAAUGGCUGGUCGAGAAUACUGACAUCAAGCUAGUUGGAAUUGAUUACUUAUCUGCUGCUGCUUAUGACGAUCUGCUUCCUUCUCACUAUGUUUUUCUAGAAGGCAGGGAGAUCAUUCUUGUGGAAGGGUUAAAAUUGGAUGACAUCGAGGCAGGGUUAUACAAUGUGCAUUGCUUACCUCUAAGGUUACUAGGUGCUGAGGGAUCCCCACUACGAUGCAUUCUCAUAAAAUGAUGAGUCAGUCUUUGUGAGCAUGUUUGAGGAGCUGUUGUAAUUCUUAUUUCUGCAAAAAUGAGCGUUUCCGCAGUUUGAAGCCAAAUUAGCAGCAUCCUAAAGGCACGGAGCAGGAUUAGGUUAGCACGUAUUUGCUUAAGAGAGAACAAUUCACAAGGUCUAAAGGUACCGCAAGAGAUAACUAGUGUACAGCGCAGAUAUAUUCAUCCACCACGAGCUUUGAGUCCAGUUCAAAAUAAAACUCCUGCAUUUCCAGUUCUCUUGCCCACUUAACAGCCUCCCAUAAACCACUGCACUCUGCAUGCUCCGGACUAGAUGAUUCAGCUAGACAGAUACACUUCGAUCCUCUGUGAUGACCUGCAAAAUCACGGAUAAUGAGACCAGUGCCACCAGAGUUAUCACGAUAAGAAUCAUCAGAAUUAAAAGUAAAAACUCCAUUUGGAGGUGGAGACCAAUGCAAAUUAUUUCUAAUUUGCCUAUGUUGUUGGUAGGGGUGUAAAUUCGGGCAGGCCGGGCCGCCCGA